UGGGUUAAGUCCCGCAACGAGCGCAACCCUUGUUCCUAGUUGCCAGCAUUGAGUUGGGCACUCUAGGGAGACUGCCGGUGACAAACCGGAGGAAGGUGAGGAUGACGUCAAGUCAGCAUGCCCCUUACGCUCUGGGCUACACACGUGCUACAAUGGCGCGGACAAAGGGUAGCAAGCGCGCGAGCGUGAGCCAAUCCCAAAAACCGCGUCUCAGUUCAGAUCGCAGGCUGCAACUCGCCUGCGUGAAGGCGGAAUCGCUAGUAAUCGCAGAUCAGCAUGCUGCGGUGAAUACGUUCCCGGGCCUUGUACACACCGCCCGUCACACCAUGGGAGCUGGCCAUGCCCGAAGUCGGAGCACCCGCCGAAGGCAGGGCUGGUGACUGGGGUGAAGUCGUAACAAGGUAGCCGUACCGGAAGGUGCGGCUGGAUCACCUCCUUU
rnacentral:rRNA from 1 species